CCUGUGAGGGUUGCUGGAGGUAUCAGAAGUGCGAAUGCUGACAUAAGUAACGAUAAAGCGGGUGAAAAGCCCGCUCGCCGGAAGACCAAGGGUUCCUGUCCAACGUUAAUCGGGGCAGGGUGAGUCGACCCCUAAGGCGAGGCCGAAAGGCGUAGUCGAUGGGAAACAGGUUAAUAUUCCUGUACUUGGUGUUACUGCGAAGGGGGGACGGAGAAGGCUAUGUUGGCCGGGCGACGGUUGUCCCGGUUUAAGCGUGUAGGCUGGUUUUCCAGGCAAAUCCGGAAAAUCAAGGCUGAGGCGUGAUGACGAGGCACUACGGUGCUGAAGCGACAAAUGCCCUGCUUCCAGGAAAAGCCUCUAAGCAUCAGGUAACAUCAAAUCGUACCCCAAACCGACACAGGUGGUCAGGUAGAGAAUACCAAGGCGCUUGAGAGAACUCGGGUGAAGGAACUAGGCAAAAUGGUGCCGUAACUUCGGGAGAAGGCACGCUGAUAUGUAGGUGAAGCGACUUGCUCGUGGAGCUGAAAUCAGUCGAAGAUACCAGCUGGCUGCAACUGUUUAUUAAAAACACAGCACUGUGCAAACACGAAAGUGGACGUAUACGGUGUGACGCCUGCCCGGUGCCGGAAGGUUAAUUGAUGGGGUUAGCGGUAACGCGAAGCUCUUGAUCGAAGCCCCGGUAAACGGCGGCCGUAACUAUAACGGUCCUAAGGUAGCGAAAUUCCUUGUCGGGUAAGUUCCGACCUGCACGAAUGGCGUAAUGAUGGCCAGGCUGUCUCCACCCGAGACUCAGUGAAAUUGAACUCGCUGUGAAGAUGCAGUGUACCCGCGGCAAGACGGAAAGACCCCGUGAACCUUUACUAUAGCUUGACACUGAACAUUGAGCCUUGAUGUGUAGGAUAGGUGGGAGGCUUUGAAGUGUGGACGCCAGUCUGCAUGGAGCCGACCUUGAAAUACCACCCUUUAAUGUUUGAUGUUCUAACGUGGGCCCCUUACCGGGGUUGCGGACAGUGUCUGGUGGGUAGUUUGACUGGGGCGGUCUCCUCCUAAAGAGUAACGGAGGAGCACGAAGGUUGGCUAAUCCUGGUCGGACAUCAGGAGGUUAGUGCAAUGGCAUAAGCCAGCUUGACUGCGAGCGUGACGGCGCGAGCAGGUGCGAAAGCAGGUCAUAGUGAUCCGGUGGUUCUGAAUGGAAGGGCCAUCGCUCAACGGAUAAAAGGUACUCCGGGGAUAACAGGCUGAUACCGCCCAAGAGUUCAUAUCGACGGCGGUGUUUGGCACCUCGAUGUCGGCUCAUCACAUCCUGGGGCUGAAGUAGGUCCCAAGGGUAUGGCUGUUCGCCAUUUAAAGUGGUACGCGAGCUGGGUUUAGAACGUCGUGAGACAGUUCGGUCCCUAUCUGCCGUGGGCGCUGGAGAACUGAGGGGGGCUGCUCCUAGUACGAGAGGACCGGAGUGGACGCAUCACUGGUGUUCGGGUUGUCAUGCCAAUGGCACUGCCCGGUAGCUAAAUGCGGAAGAGAUAAGUGCUGAAAGCAUCUAAGCACGAAACUUGCCCCGAGAUGAGUUCUCCCUGACUCCUUGAGAGUCCUGAAGGAACGUUGAAGACGACGACGUUGAU
rnacentral:rRNA from 1 species